CUUGAAUCCCCUUCCACUCCCAUUCUCUCUUCAAACCCUAGACACCGCCAUACAAACUAACCCUAACCCCAUCGAUCCUCACCAGUUUCCAUGGCUUCUCAGGCCAUGAAACCCUCAUACUCACCUCCUAUGGCUCCUGCAUGCCUGUCGUUCGAUGGUUCGAGGCUAGACCUCGAGGUUCUUCACUCAAACCAUCACUGAUUCGAGGAUUCCAACCAUCUCCAGCCUUGCUCUGGUGGUUCUUGGUCUUUUGUGCCUGAUCAUGACAUUAUCUGACUUAGAUCAGAUAUUUUCGAUGCCUUUUUCAUCUCUAGGGUUUCCACUGAAACCCUAACUAUCGAGUUUCUUUCCGAUCAUUUUUAGAUUUGUUACAUGUUUGCACUAUUGCUUAAGUUUCUUAAACGUUUUCUCCGAUUUUCUUUCAAAAAUCACUUCCUCUCUAUUAGGGUUUCUAGAAAGUUCUUAAAAAAUGUUCUGACUCUUCUUCUUCUUUUCCUGAUAUGAAUCGAUCCUUUUCAAUGUUCUAAAGUUUCUUAAACGUUUUCUCCGAUUUUCUUUCAAAAAUGACUUCCUUUCGACUAGGGUUUCGGGAAGGUUCUUAAAAAAUGUUUCUAACUCUUCUUCUUCUUUUCCUGGUGUGAAUCAUCCUUACUAUGUUCUUAUUUACUAUUUUCUAACUCGCAUGCUCUUUCGUGUGUUCUUAUGUUUGUUGUAUUGUGAAGUUUUUCUAUUAUACUUCGUUUUGCCUCCUACUGGUUUCAAUACCAUGCUCUCACAUGCCUAUCGCAUGUGUUUCUCCACUGUGUUUUCCUACUGAGUUUUAGUCCUUCGGUUGCCCUUACCGGACUUUGCUUGGAUUCUUUCUAAGUGUUUUAUUGACUGUUUCUUUAAGUUUACACUGCCUGAACUUGUUUAAAUUUCAAGCUUUUUCUUGAAGCUUGUUUCCUGUACUAAUUUCUAUGUUCUAGUUGCUUUUGAACUUACUAUCAUACUUGUAUGCUUCUCAUGAGACUCUGAAAUAGGUCACUAAGCCUGAGCUUGCCUUUUCAUCUCUACUAAAAAACCCUAGGAUUUGGGGGAUUUCUUUGGGAAAUUUGGUUUUGUGUUUGGACAAGGAUUCUACUUUGAAACCUUGAAAUCUAAAACUCACUCCGAGCUUAUGACUUGAAUUUGAACUUUUUCUGGAUUUGUGAUUUGAAACCUUCUUGCUUGACAUGUCUAUGUGUUUAUAUACGAGAACUUCCCUUUCAAAAGUCUUGCCAACUGUUAAUUGAUUUUGAAUCCCCUUUAAUGUUGCUUAUUUGAUUGUUAUUGAUUUUCCCUAAAUUAAAGCUUUCCUUUACUCCUGAUUUGACUCUUUACAUGCUAUUUGCUGAUUCCCUUUCCUUGUUUUCACAAACCUAGUACCACUAUGUUUUUACCUUAAAUGUCUUUUAUGUAUUUACCUUUUAUUUGUCUGCUUUUCACGAGAUAUUUACUUUAUUUCCUUCCUUAAAUAACUU
rnacentral:lncRNA from 1 species